GUGCCAGCCGCCGCGGUAAUACGUAGGUGGCAAGCGUUGUCCGGAUUUAUUGGGCGUAAAGGGUGUGCAGGCGGUUUCUUAAGUGAGAUGUGAAAGCCCCGGGCUUAACUGUGGGGGGUCAUUGCAAACUGGGAGACUUGAGUGCAGGAGAGGAAAGUAGAAUUCCAAGUGUAGCGGUGAAAUGCGUAGAGAUUUGGAAGAAAACCAGUGGCGAAGGCGACUUUCGGGUCUGUAACUGACGCUGAGGCAUGAAAGCGUGGGGAGCAAACAGGAUUAGAUACCCUGGUAGUCCACGCCGUAAACGAUGAGUACUAAGUGUUAGAGGGAU
rnacentral:rRNA from 1 species